rnacentral:rRNA from 1 species
UACGUAGGGUGCAAGCGUUGUCCGGAAUUACUGGGCGUAAAGUGUGCGCAGGUGGCCUUGCAAGUCGAGUGUGAAAUCCCCGGGCUUAACUUGGGAAUUGCGCUCGAAACUACGAGGCUUGAGUGUGGCAGAGGGAGGUGGAAUUCCACGUGUAGCGGUGAAAUGCGCAGAUAUCAGAAGGAACACCGGUGGCGAAAGCGACUCUCUGGCUCGUAUCUGACGCUAAGGUGCGAAAGCUUGGGUAGCAAACAGG